rnacentral:rRNA from 1 species
UUAAGUUAUUAAGGGCGCACGGUGGAUGCCUUGGCACUAGAAGCCGAUGAAGGACGUUACUAACGACGAUAUGCUUUGGGGAGCUGUAAGUAAGCUUUGAUCCAGAGAUUUCCGAAUGGGGAAACCCAGCAUGAGUUAUGUCAUGUUAUCGAUAUGUGAAUACAUAGCAUAUCAGAAGGCACACCCGGAGAACUGAAACAUCUUAGUACCCGGAGGAAGAGAAAGAAAAUUCGAUUCCCUUAGUAGCGGCGAGCGAAACGGGAAGAGCCCAAACCAACAAGCUUGCUUGUUGGGGUUGUAGGACACUCUAUACGGAGUUACAAAGGACGACAUUAGACGAAUCAUCUGGAAAGAUGAAUCAAAGAAGGUAAUAAUCCUGUAGUCGAAAAUGUUGUCUCUCUUGAGUGGAUCCUGAGUACGACGGAGCACGUGAAAUUCCGUCGGAAUCUGGGAGGACCAUCUCCUAAGGCUAAAUACUCUCUAGUGACCGAUAGUGAACCAGUACCGUGAGGGAAAGGUGAAAAGCACCCCGGAAGGGGAGUGAAAUAGAACCUGAAACCGUGUGCUUACAAGUAGUCAGAGCCCGUUAAUGGGUGAUGGCGUGCCUUUUGUAGAAUGAACCGGCGAGUUACGAUUUGAUGCAAGGUUAAGCAGUAAAUGUGGAGCCGUAGCGAAAGCGAGUCUGAAUAGGGCGUUUAGUAUUUGGUCGUAGACCCGAAACCAGGUGAUCUACCCUUGGUCAGGUUGAAGUUCAGGUAACACUGAAUGGAGGACCGAACCGACUUACGUUGAAAAGUGAGCGGAUGAACUGAGGGUAGCGGAGAAAUUCCAAUCGAACCUGGAGAUAGCUGGUUCUCUCCGAAAUAGCUUUAGGGCUAGCCUCAAGUGAUGAUUAUUGGAGGUAGAGCACUGUUUGGACGAGGGGCCCCUCUCGGGUUACCGAAUUCAGACAAACUCCGAAUGCCAAUUAAUUUAACUUGGGAGUCAGAACAUGGGUGAUAAGGUCCGUGUUCGAAAGGGAAACAGCCCAGACCACCAGCUAAGGUCCCAAAAUAUAUGUUAAGUGGAAAAGGAUGUGGCGUUGCCCAGACAACUAGGAUGUUGGCUUAGAAGCAGCCAUCAUUUAAAGAGUGCGUAAUAGCUCACUAGUCGAGUGACACUGCGCCGAAAAUGUACCGGGGCUAAACAUAUUACCGAAGCUGUGGAUUGUCCUUUGGACAAUGGUAGGAGAGCGUUCUAAGGGCGUUGAAGCAUGAUCGUAAGGACAUGUGGAGCGCUUAGAAGUGAGAAUGCCGGUGUGAGUAGCGAAAGACGGGUGAGAAUCCCGUCCACCGAUUGACUAAGGUUUCCAGAGGAAGGCUCGUCCGCUCUGGGUUAGUCGGGUCCUAAGCUGAGGCCGACAGGCGUAGGCGAUGGAUAACAGGUUGAUAUUCCUGUACCACCUAUAAUCGUUUUAAUCGAUGGGGGGACGCAGUAGGAUAGGCGAAGCGUGCGAUUGGAUUGCACGUCUAAGCAGUAAGGCUGAGUAUUAGGCAAAUCCGGUACUCGUUAAGGCUGAGCUGUGAUGGGGAGAAGACAUUGAGUCUUCGAGUCGUUGAUUUCACACUGCCGAGAAAAGCCUCUAGAUAGAAAAUAGGUGCCCGUACCGCAAACCGACACAGGUAGUCAAGAUGAGAAUUCUAAGGUGAGCGAGCGAACUCUCGUUAAGGAACUCGGCAAAAUGACCCCGUAACUUCGGGAGAAGGGGUGCUCUUUAGGGUUAACGCCCAGAGGAGCCGCAGUGAAUAGGCCCAAGCGACUGUUUAUCAAAAACACAGGUCUCUGCUAAACCGUAAGGUGAUGUAUAGGGGCUGACGCCUGCCCGGUGCUGGAAGGUUAAGAGGAGUGGUUAGCUUCUGCGAAGCUACGAAUCGAAGCCCCAGUAAACGGCGGCCGUAACUAUAACGGUCCUAAGGUAGCGAAAUUCCUUGUCGGGUAAGUUCCGACCCGCACGAAAGGCGUAACGAUUUGGGCACUGUCUCAACGAGAGACUCGGUGAAAUCAUAGUACCUGUGAAGAUGCAGGUUACCCGCGACAGGACGGAAAGACCCCGUGGAGCUUUACUGUAGCCUGAUAUUGAAAUUCGGCACAGCUUGUACAGGAUAGGUAGGAGCCUUUGAAACGUGAGCGCUAGCUUACGUGGAGGCGCUGGUGGGAUACUACCCUAGCUGUGUUGGCUUUCUAACCCGCACCACUUAUCGUGGUGGGAGACAGUGUCAGGCGGGCAGUUUGACUGGGGCGGUCGCCUCCUAAAAGGUAACGGAGGCGCUCAAAGGUUCCCUCAGAAUGGUUGGAAAUCAUUCAUAGAGUGUAAAGGCAUAAGGGAGCUUGACUGCGAGACCUACAAGUCGAGCAGGGUCGAAAGACGGACUUAGUGAUCCGGUGGUUCCGCAUGGAAGGGCCAUCGCUCAACGGAUAAAAGCUACCCCGGGGAUAACAGGCUUAUCUCCCCCAAGAGUUCACAUCGACGGGGAGGUUUUGGCACCUCGAUGUCGGCUCAUCGCAUCCUGGGGCUGUAGUCGGUCCCAAGGGUUGGGCUGUUCGCCCAUUAAAGCGGUACGCGAGCUGGGUUCAGAACGUCGUGAGACAGUUCGGUCCCUAUCCGUCGUGGGCGUAGGAAAUUUGAGAGGAGCUGUCCUUAGUACGAGAGGACCGGGAUGGACAUACCUCUGGUGUACCAGUUGUCGUGCCAACGGCAUAGCUGGGUAGCUAUGUGUGGACGGGAUAAGUGCUGAAAGCAUCUAAGCAUGAAGCCCCCCUCAAGAUGAGAUUUCCCAACUUCGGUUAUAAGAUCCCUCAAAGAUGAUGAGGUUAAUAGGUUCGAGGUGGAAGCAUGGUGACAUGUGGAGCUGACGAAUACUAAUCGAUCGAAGACUUAAUCAA